GAGUUUGAUCCUGGCUCAGAACGAACGCUGGAGGCAGGCCUAACACAUGCAAGUCGAGCGCGCCUUUCGGGGUGAGCGGCGGACGGGUUAGUAACGCGUGGGAACGUACCCUUUUCUGCGGAAUAGCCUCUGGAAACGGAGAGUAAUACCGCAUACGCCCUUCGGGGGAAAGAUUUAUCGGAGAAGGAUCGGCCCGCGUUAGAUUAGAUAGUUGGUGGGGUAACGGCUUACCAAGUCUACGAUCUAUAGCUGGUUUUAGAGGAUGAUCAGCAACACUGGGACUGAGACACGGCCCAGACUCCUACGGGAGGCAGCAGUGGGGAAUCUUGGACAAUGGGCGCAAGCCUGAUCCAGCCAUGCCGCGUGAGUGAAGAAGGCCUUAGGGUCGUAAAGCUCUUUCGCCUGUGAUGAUAAUGACAGUAGCAGGUAAAGAAACCCCGGCUAACUCCGUGCCAGCAGCCGCGGUAAUACGGAGGGGGUUAGCGUUGUUCGGAAUUACUGGGCGUAAAGCGCGCGUAGGCGGAUUGGAAAGUUGGGGGUGAAAUCCCGAGGCUCAAGCUCGGAACUGACUCCAAAACUCCCAGUCUAAAGUUCGAGAGAGGUGAGUGGAAUUCCAAGUGUAGGGGUG
rnacentral:rRNA from 1 species